CUAUGGAAUGAGGAAGCUAAACAGAGCGCAGAGGAGCUGAAACACCACGAAGCAAACAGACACACGGUAUUUACAUCGGAGAUCACCAUUUCUAGCAAAAAAACCCGCAACCUCGUUUUCCAGAUUGAAUGGAAUACUUGAAUGAUCGGAUGAUACACGGACCGUUCUAGGAUUACAUUCCAUCGGAGGCAUUGGUGUGUGCAAGGCGCCGUUUCUCUUUCUGAUGGGAUUGAUGCAUUGGACAGAGGGCUGGGGGCCAUUUUGUCCCAGGUGGUGGAGAAAGAGGAACGCCCGUGCUGUACAUCAGCUGCAAGUUCUCGGUGCGGGAGAGCAGUUAUAGCAUGACAGAGAAGAAGUGCCUGGUCAUCAAGUGGGUGGUCCUUAUUCUUUGGUCCUGCCUAUUCAUUCUUUGUUCUAAUCGCACCCUGCUCCAGUGGCUCCACCGAAUGAAAGAUGCCAACAUGAGGGUCACUCAUGUCACUUCAGCUGUUUAAGUUUGAGGUGCUCCACAGGCCAGGAGUGCAGAUGGUGGUGGUGGAUUACCUCUCCCACCAGGGUGGGAGUCAGCUGCAGGCCGGACAGCUCCCUAGCCCGAGUUGGGUGGUGGGGGUUAUGUGGCAGCGGGGGCGUGAUCGAGCGCCAGCUGGGGAAGGAGAGAAGGCAGGUAGAACCAGCAGAUGAGGUUUUUGUGCUGUGACGAUGAGGAUCCUGGCUCCAGGGUGGGAGCGGUCAACCACAAUCUCUCCUCCCCACUUCAGGGUGGUGCUGGAAGCAUGCAGGCCCUUCAGGAAUGGCAGAUAAAAAACACAAGCAGCCCAUCAGCAGAUGACAUGCUGCAGUCUCAUUUUCUCUGUGACAUCACUGGUCAAUAAACAUGUUUCCUAUAAAAAGAGCAUUACUAUACUGACAUUUUUUCAUAUUCAUAGUUAUUGAAAUCAGCAGGCUUACCAUAUCAGUGUGAGCUGUGGGCUUGCUUCUGACUGGUGAGGAGAUCGAUGGCAGGUUCUAUCUCAGUUACAGCCAGCCUCAGAGACUGAUGCAGGUGUUGAUCUGAGAGUCUUGAUCUCAUCGAAUUUUUUAUCAGCUUCAUGCGAGAAAAAGUUUGCUCACAGAUAUAUGUGCUCCCAAAAACUGUGGACAUCUUCAUUGCAUGCUUUCUUAUGUUGGGGUAGGUCUCGUUUGGGAGGGGAGCAUAGUACUCUAUGAGACAGCUGGGGUUGAAUGCGUCUUUCGGCACAUCACAGGUCUGCAACUCAGCCAGUUCAAAUUGAAGAGAAGGCAGGGUGUCAUUAA